CCUGGGAUUACAGGUGUAUACCACACCUGGCUUUAUUUUUUAAAGAGAACAUCUUGUUGAAUUGCUAGGUUGCCCACACUGUGCGCAGACUUGCGAUCCUCCCGCCUCAUUCUGCUGAGCGCUGGGAUCACAGGAGCGCAGCACCACGCCCAGCUGUGUGUCCUACCCAUCUAAACAGCUCCUGCCUCAGAGGGUUCUUGGGAAACAGUGCCCAUGAGUGAGACCCCAUGGUCUGGAACCCCAAGCACUCGCCGGGCCAUUGCCUGCCCUUGCGUUUCUGUUUCGCAUCCUGGGUGCCCCUCCCCGCCUGCAGGAAGCUGUGGGGCCGGAAGUCUCAGCACAUCCAGGAGAAGGCAGACAGAGCGGUCACAACAUGAGCACACCGCGGGCCCUGCCAGGAGCCGGAGGACACGGCAGCCACGGCCUUCCUCGGGAACGUGCUCCCUGCCCAGAGCCUGGGGCCGUGCCCUCCUCAGGGCCCGUGUGAGCUCUGAGCUGCAUUUUCCUCCCCCACGGGAAAAGAACUUGGCUAGAACAACCCGGGAGCAGAAGCACUGCUGUUUGGGGUAGACGUAGACGCCCCUCCCUGCCCUGGUGAGAAAACUGGAAUCGACCCAGUGCAUGAGCUGGAGCCCCCUCCCUGCCUGCAGGCCGGGGACAGGUGAGAGACACCCUCUGGGAAGGGCACACACGUGAUGUGUCACUGAUCAGCACUUCCACAUGCCAAUUUCCCGCUUCACAGAUCUCUGGGACGCACGCCAAGCACAGCAACACCUGCCUGUAAUCCCAGCUACUUGGGAGGCUGAAGCAGGAAGAUCGUGAGUUUGAGGCCAGCCUUGACAGUUCAGAGACAGCCUGGCGGCAGAUGAAGACUAGAGGGCUGGGCUGUGGUUCUGUGAUGCAGACCUGGCCUGGCAGGGACAGUCUGUGGCUUCUGUCCCCAGCACAGAUGCGAAGCUCUGGGACGCAUUAGAGCUGCCCAGCCGUAGGGAAGAUGCCGCAGAGCCUCAAGGGGCCGGGGUCUGGGCCUGCGAACACCUGUCACCCUGAGGAGCCCCAGCCCCAAGCAGCCCCUUCUGCUCGGGACACACCAGCCAGGGACCUUCUGGGCAGGGAGGUGGCACAGAGUGGCAGGGUGCUGGAAAUAACCCAGCAGCGUGGGCGCGGACGCUGGAGACGCGGCUGAGAUUGAGUCAGACUGAGAUGCUUAAUGCCGGCGCUUCUGGAGAUGGGUAUUUUGGGCUCUGCUGGAAGGCAGCUCCUCGAGGACCUGGAAGAGGAAGCAGGAAGGGGGCCCUGCCUCCAGAGCCCCAGUAGUGCUGGGGAGAGCACAGCCACUCCAUAGGCAGCGCCAGUAUGGGAAGGUGCAAGCUGCGGUCUGGAGCCCCUGUGGGUUAGCAGGCGGCUGGCCCCUCCUCCAGCGGCGAACCAGGAGGUGAGCACGCUUCCGUGUGCGGGAAGAUGCAGCUCCAGAGACACAGCUUCCUUUAAAUAUGCGGCUCCCUCAGCACCUGGGAGUGCGUCCUUCCUGUCUGUCCGCCUGCCCCGGGAAAGAGCAGCUGUCCGUGUCACGUGCACAGACUUGACAGUGCGCCGGACUCGCCAGGGGUUCUGGGUCUCUGUGUCCUCUCCAGGCAUGGAGCCCUCCAUGGCCCACGAGCAGAGUGAACACACAAUUAAAAAAAAAAAACAAAAAACGA